GUGGAACUUCAGAACGUCCAUAUCAACUAUGUGGAGUUCUUUUGUGUGGAAGAAAUAUUGCAAGAAGUUGUAUCCUUUAUUAACUAAAGGAACUAGAGCAUCACAUCUAUGGAGAAAAAUGAUUUCUAUAAGAGAGGAGGUGAAACAUAAUAUAUAGAGGCAGGUAAAAACUUGUAAUUUAAGUUUUUGAUAUGAUAAUUGGACAAAAUAAAGUACUUUGUAUUAUGUGGAAGGGGAGACAUUUCAAGAUGAGAAAAUAGAGGUGAAGAAUUUUAUCAGAAAUGGAGAGUGGGGCAAAUAAUUGUUGUUAUCAUAUUUAUCUGAAGAGAUGGUUGAUUUGAUUUUAGAAAUUGUAAAGCCUAUACUAGAGAAACAUCAGAAUGAUAAACUAUGGUGGAUGGGUAGCACAAGUGGCCAAUUUACAGUGAAGUUUGUCUGGGAGAUCAUCAAAAUGAAAAAAGAGAAAAAAAGAGAUUAAGAUUUCAUCUAGAACAAAGGUUUACUUUUUAAGUACAAUUCCUCCUUAUGAAGGGUAUAGUUGAGAAGGAUUCCUACAGAUGACAACUUAAAGAGAAUGAAGAUCUAAUUGGUAUCAAGAUGCUGGUGUUGUGAAAAUAGGAGGGAAGAGACUAUGACCCAUGUUUUACUAACAACCCCCUUGGCCUUAUGGCUUUAGAGGCUGUUUGCUCAUUUUGCAGGGAUACAGGUGGACAACAUACAAUUACAAUAGAUGAUUAUAUUAUGGUGGAAAAAGGAGUCAACAUCAAAGAUAAACAUGAUUUUCAGUGCUAUACCAGCUAUAAUCAUGUGGAACAUAUGAAAGGGGGGAAUUCUAUUAAACGUGGAGGUUCCAUUCAUUUUAAGGGAUGGUUUUGCAAGUCCAGGAGAUAAUGAAGAAGAUGAUCAAGACUUUGUAUCCAUGGAUAAAGUUGAAAUAUUGGCCAUGGCCAGAAGUGGUCAAUAAUAUGAGUACAUUUAGGCCAAAAUUGUAAUAUCAAAAGGUGUUAUGGAUGAAACCAGAAUCCAUGCAGUUAAAAUGCAACAUGGAUGAAGCUUGUAGAGAAAAUUCAGGGAUGAGUAAAUAUGGGUUUUGCAUAAGAAAAGAUAAAGGAGAUAUAGUGUAUGCUAGAGCUAAAGGCAUGGGACUGGGUACAAACACUGAAGUAGAAUAGAUUGCUAUUAAAAAGGCUUUAGAGUACUGUUAUGAGAAAGAUUUUAAAAAUUCCAUCUUACAAACUGACUCGUUAAGUCUUAAGCAAAUGAUACUAAAGCAGUGAAAAAUUUCUUGGGAGCUAGUAGUUAUUAUUGAGGAGAUUAGAUAAUUCAUUUAGAAACUAAAUAUCACUAUCACACAUAUAUUUAGGGAAGGGAACACAGUGGCCGAUUCUUUAGAAAAUAAGGUGAUGGAUGGAAAAGACAUGCAAGAAUAUCAUUCUUUUCAGGAUAUAUACUAAAUAUUAAUAAAGAUCAUAUUUCACAUAUCAGAAUAAAGACAAGAAGGAUAAUUCAAUAAUGACUAUCAGAAGCAGCAUACAUAUUUACAAUAAAGUAGCAAGUUCAAGCAUAGUUCAACAAACAAAAGAAGAGGAGAAUAAAGAGUACAGUAAAAGGAUAUUAAAAGUAUACCUGGAAGAAGUAUUAUAGCUGUGCUAACGACAGUUAGAAUUAAAAUCCUAGCUAUCAAAAAUCUUCACAAAAAAUGGAGGGGUAGGGAUUUGCUCCAGCAUCCAAAACCACCAGAUAAAGAGAAAGAGGUUUUCAUUACUCAAAACCUGGGUGAACUGGAAGUAGUUUGGCUAUGUGAGAGAUACCCAAGACCACCUGUACACAGAAAGGAAAUAUCAGAUUGGAAAUGACCAGUACCUGAUAGAAGUGAAGCUGAUAGAAAAAGUUCAGUUAAGAUCCACUAUUGAUUCAGCUGGUACAGAGCCCAGAGAAGGAGAAAUUGAAGCUUUGAAUUUAUCUGCAGCACUCCGGCGGCAUUAUUGCAAACAACUUUAAAAGAAAGGGAAGGGAACUUUGUACUCUUGUCUCAAAC
rnacentral:lncRNA from 1 species